GAUGAACGCUAGCUACAGGCUUAACACAUGCAAGUCGAGGGGAAACGACAUCUCUAGCUUGCUUUUGAUGGGUGUCGACCGGCGCACGGGUGAUUAACUCGUAUCCAACCUGCCCAUCACUUGGUAAUAACCUUUCGUAACUAAGACUAAUACCCAAUGACAUCCCACGAAGACAUCUGAUUGGGAUUAUAGAUUUAUCGGUGAUGGCUGGGGAUGCGUCUGAUUAGCUUGUUGGCGGGGUAACGGCCCACCAAGGCAACGAUCAGUAGGGGUUCUGAGAGGAAGGUCGCUGAUAUUGGAACAGGGACACGGACAAAAGGACUAAGAGAGGCAGCAGUGAGGAAUAGUGAGCAAUGGGGGAGAGCAUGAAACAGCCAAGUAGAGUGCAGGACAACGGCCCUAUGUGUGGUAAACUGCUUUUAGAAGGGAAUAAAGUGGGUCUCGGGAGACUUAAUGAAAGUACCGGAUGAAUAAGGACCGGCUAAUUCCGUG
rnacentral:rRNA from 1 species